rnacentral:rRNA from 1 species
AGCGAACGCUGGCGGCAGGCCUAACACAUGCAAGUCGAACGGAUCCUUCGGGAUUAGUGGCGGACGGGUGAGUAACACGUGGGAACGUGCCCUUUGGUUCGGAACAACUCAGGGAAACUUGAGCUAAUACCGGAUGUGCCCUUCGGGGGAAAGAUUUAUCGCCAUUGGAGCGGCCCGCGUCUGAUUAGCUAGUUUGUGAGGUAAAGGCUCACCAAGGCGACGAUCAGUAGCUGGUCCGAGAGGAUGAUCAGCCACAUUGGGACUGAGACACGGCCCAAACUCCUACGGGAGGCAGCAGUGGGGAAUCUUGCGCAAUGGGCGAAAGCCUGACGCAGCCAUGCCGCGUGAAUGAUGAAGGUCUUAGGAUUGUAAAAUUCUUUCACCGGGGACGAUAAUGACGGUACCCGGAGAAGAAGCCCCGGCUAACUUCGUGCCAGCAGCCGCGGUAA